rnacentral:piRNA from 1 species
UUGAUAUUUGUGAUCUUGGAGGAAUGAU